rnacentral:lncRNA from 1 species
GGCAAAAUCAAGUUCUACAUCUGUCCCUGUGUAUGUCACUUGUUUGAAUACGAAAUAAAAUUAAAAAAAUAAAUUCAGUGUAUUGAGAAAGCAAGCAAUUCUCUCAAGGUAUAUUUCUGACAUACUAAGAUUUUAACGACUUUCACAAAUAUGCUGUACUGAGAGAGAAUGUUACAUAACAUUGAGAACUAGUACAAGUAAAUAUUAAAGUGAAGUGACCAUUUCCUACACAAGCUCAUUCAGAGGAGGAUGAAGACCAUUUUGGAGGAAGAAAAGCACCCUUAUUAAGAAUUGCAGCAAGUAAGCCAACAAGGUCUUUUCAGGUACAGUUUCAGAACUUACUAUUUAACAUUCCUCUCAAGCAAAUACGCCUUGAAAUGCUUUUUUUAAAUCAUAGGAAUUUAAAAACACUUUACAAUAGAGAAUGAUUGAUUUUUAAAAUGUGUCUGAUUUAGCUUUGUAGAGAUGUUCCGCUAAUAUCCAUAACUAAUCUGAGAGGAAAUGUGGAACAACAGAAGAGUAACAGUGUCUACUCAGUAACAAGCGUUUUACGAGUUAAAAAGACAUCCAAAUGCAGUACUGAAAAAUCAGAAGUCUUGAUUUGUCUCACUGAUGACUCCGUUUUUCCUAGAGCAGUCUGUUUAAUGCUUACUGGAGAUAAAUAGAUUUAUAGGUGACCAAGACAAUCGAUUAAUGUAUCAGCCACAGACUUUUUUAAAUAGAAAAUUUUCUAAGUAGGAAAUCAUUCAUAGCUCUUUGAAAGAUAUAGGGAGAGGCCUCAAGGAAAGAAAGAAAGGAAAAAAAUUGGGAAAGGAAA